rnacentral:rRNA from 1 species
GUCGCUACUACCGAUUGGAUGGUUUAGUGAGAUCCUCGGAUUGGUCCUGGCGUGGCGGGCAACCGCCGUGCCAGUGUGCCGAGAAGACGAUCGAACUUGAUCAUCUAGAGGAAGUAA